CUUUACUGCAGCUUGACAUUGAACUUUGAUCUUACUUGUGUAGGAUAGGUGGGAGGCUUUGAAACCGAGACGCUAGUUUCGGUGGAGCCAAUCUUGAAAUACCACCCUGGUAAUAUUGAGGUUCUAACUCUGUCCCGUUAUCCGGGACGAGGACCAUGUCUGGUGGGUAGUUUGACUGGGGCGGUCUCCUCCUAAAGAGUAACGGAGGAGUACGAAGGUGCGCUCAGCGUGGUCGGAAAUCACGCGUAGAGUAUAAAGGCAAAAGCGCGCUUAACUGCGAGACCCACAAGUCGAGCAGGUACGAAAGUAGGUCUUAGUGAUCCGGUGGUUCUGUAUAGAAGGGCCAUCGCUCAACGGAUAAAAGGUA
rnacentral:rRNA from 1 species